AUGAUGAAGAGAGUGUGAGAAGAAGAUGAGAGACUAAAAAAAAGAAGAGAGAGGAGGAAAAGGAGAGAGUGAGAAGAAGAGGAGAGAGUGAAAAAAAAAGAGGAGAGAGGAGGAAGUGGAGAAAAUGAGAACAAGAGGAGGACAGAGAAGGAAGAAGAGGUGAGAUGAGGAAGAGGAGAAAGUGAGAAGAAGAGAGAAGAGGAAGAGGAGAGAGUGAGAAGGAGCGAGAGAUGAAGAGAGUGUGUGAAGGAGAGAGUGAGAAGAGGAGGAGAGUGUGAGAAGGAGAGGAGAGAGUGAGAAGAAGAGAGAGAAGGAAGAGGAGAGAAUGAGAAGAAGAGAGAGGAGGAAGAGGAGUGAGAAGAAAAGGAGAGAGAGAGACGAAGAGACUGAGAAGAGGAGAGAGUGAGAAGAAGAAGAGGAGAGAGAGAAGAAGAGGAGAGUGUGAGAAGAAGAGGAGAGAGUGUGAAGAAGAAGAGGAGAGAGGAAGAAGAGGAGAAAGUGAGAAGAGGAAGAGGAGAUAGUGAGAAGGAGAGAGUGAGAAGAAAAGAGAGAGGAGGAAGAGGAGAGAGUGAGAAG
rnacentral:lncRNA from 1 species